rnacentral:piRNA from 1 species
CCCCAUCUCGGAAGUGCCAUGUGCAGU